rnacentral:lncRNA from 1 species
GAAACGCGCUCGGAGAAGUGGGCCCACAGAGGGGCCAGUGAGAGGGCGGGCGCCCAGAUCAAGUGGGCGGGCGCCCAGCCCCUAUUCCCCCUCGGUCCCGACUUUCUCUGUUAUGGAAAAUGCACUUAGGGUGCUCCGAAUAAUCCCUCAGAUGGAAAGUUUCGCACGCACGUCGACGGGAGCAACCCGAACAACCCAUAGAGGCAUCCUUUUGACCCCUAUAUAAACAGACCCCUGACCUCAGUUUUCAAACACCAAGCCACCAAGCUUUCUCUCCUUCAAUUAGAGCUUGAUUAGCUCUCCUUCAAUUAGAGCUUGAUAAGCUCUACUUCAAUUAAAAUUUUAUUAGUUCCUUACUGUUCCAAUGGCCGAGAAGUACCACGAUGAUUGGGAAGUCGUCCCCUUCAACCUCAACAUGGAGCCUGUGGAGGACCCCGAUGCCCGUGCUCUCGUUCCGGCCAACACAGAGCGUCAGCUAGAAGCCAUGCCAUUACGCCAAUGCAGCUCCGCCCAAUCUUAGCUUGCUCAACCAGUUCUCACCGCACCACCACAACCCCUACUCCUCACAGGAUCAUCAUCCAAGACGAAGACCACUAUCAAGGUGCCAAUCGGCACGAGGAUCCUUCCACCUAGACCCAAUGAGAGGGUCAUUGGAGUCAAGACCAACCGGAGCGGCGAGAUCAGCAGCGUACGCUACACUACGGAGGAGGAAAGGCCUUACUUUGAAGGGAUUAGAGCAGCCAAAGUCCGUUUCAUCCCUCCAAAGGCAGCCCCAAAGCAUGCUCUCAACGCUUUUGAGACACCUCCCAAGCGUCACAAGACUAUAAUGGAUAUUGAUGAGGAAGUUCGCAGGCUAGAUAGAGUUAUCAUAGACCUCCAGUCCUCGAUUAAUUCCCUCACUAGGCAGCUCUCUUACCUCAACACCAUUAUACUAGGCCUUAGGCAGGAUCUUGCCAGUGCCAACAAGAAGAUCAGGAAUUAGAGCGCCGCUAAGUUAUCUAGAUUAGACUUUGAGGCAAUACAUCUUAGUCAUCUAUCUUUAAAUUCGGUUUAAGUUUGCUAUUAUCAACAGUUGCUAUUAUCAUCAGUUUGCUAUCAGUCUUUUGUAAUAAAUGCCUCAAGAUUAAUAAAGAGUAUUAUUAUUAUUAUUAUGUCUUGUGUGUCUUCACUUUAUUUUUUGUGCAAGAAAGCAGAAAACAAGUAUUGGGGAGAUCCCUCGACAUGCCAAACACACUCCGACUACACCACUCCACGAUUCAGGUACACACUCUGCACACUUUACUUUACACAUACAUUUAUUCUGGAUUAUGCAGAUUACUGUUUCCGACAUGAUAAAAUAAAAGGAUUAAAAUAUUUCUAAUCAUGAUUAAUCUCAAUCUAUGAUAUUUCCUGAAAAUUUGCAAUUAUUAUAGAAUCAUUUUAAAAACCCUGUGUCACUUAAGUCAAUAUGGAACAUGUGAUGGUAGAGUAUGAGUUUCUUAUUCUUGAUAUCAUUGUUGCUUGGAGAAUUUAUUUCAAAAUAUUCAAAAUUCUAGCUACCAUCCUCGGUGUUUUAUAUGCCUGAUAAAACUAAAAAUAUUAAUUAUGAUUAUAAAAGCUAUCUGCUCUAUAUUGAGUUUGUUCAAAAUGAGUUAGACCCUUGUUGAGAGAUUUAUCAUGCUCCUAAGAUCAAGACAUUAUUUCAGUAAGAUUCACUCUUGCGAAGUAUUAUUGCAUUAGAGACAUGGGCUAUGCAAAAAUAGAGAUAUUUCGAGGAAAUAAAAAGGAGCAAGUGCUCGACAACCUCGCAGAAAAAUGGACAAGUGUCCGGCAGUAGAAUUAGGGGUACCUCGGUAUCCACUAAAAAAAAGAAGAAAAAAAGAGAAAAAAUGAUAGCCCAUGGUCCCUCUAAUAAGCAAUAUGCCAGCAAGAGUUGACAAAGUUUUUAAUUUCCAAAGUCUUUGAUCUAAGAGUAUGACAUUCCCCUCCUCGGAUCCCGUUUUGAUCAGGCAAUAAAUGCAAAGUAAGAAUGCUUGAGAAUUUCUUGCAAAAUAAAACAGCCUCAGUGAGAUAUAUAUAAAAGAUAAUGAGUGAUCUGAGAGAACCUAUGAGGAUAAAAAGGUAUGCUAACUUUCUUUCAAAAAUAUACAAAAACUCCAAGUGACAGGAUUGAGAAGAAAGGAUCUUUACUCUUAAUCAUAAACUUUCCUGACUAUGGUACACAGUGGAUUUUUGACACCCUGCAAUUAUAAAAAAAAUGUUUUAAAUGUUUACCCCAGAUAUUGAUCUUAACCAUCCUUUCCCCGAGGACGAGUAAAAGCCUAAGUAUGGGGGUAUUUGUUGACGGUUCUUAAGUAUCAAUUUUAAUUAUCAAAUAAACAAGAGAAAGGACCAAUAUGCAACCAUCACCUAGAAUUAGGGUUUGAUCUGACAGAAUUCCAUGAGUUUUGUUGUCUAUCUAUUUCUAUAGGGGGUUAUCAGGAAAUAAGGAAGAAAGGCCCACAUGUCGGGAUUACAUAGAGAUAUCAAUGCACCGCGUAAUUUUACAUCAUCCAGAAGACUCCAGAAGCCACGAGACCGAAGCGGAGGCGAAACUGGGCCAGGCCCAGGGCGCCCGCCCUGGUAGCCUGGGCGCCCGCCCCCCUGUUGGAGCCAAAUCAGGACUCUUUCGCUCGGGAUAUUCCACCGACCUAUUGGAUCAAGAAAAACAUAGUACCACCUCGCCUAUCGACCCAAAAACGCAUAGAAGGGGAGGACUAUAUAAGCAAGGCCCCCUGGCCCCUGGAGAAGACAUGAAGAAAUUAUCAUAGAGACUGAGGGGUGCCCUCGAAGGAAAACUUCUUCUCUAAUUAAUAUUUCUUUUUAGGCUUAGCAAUCAAUGUAAGGUAGAAAUAGAUCUUCUAGUUUCUACUAGAUUGAGAGAGAUAGAGUGGAGGAGU